rnacentral:rRNA from 1 species
GACGAACGCUGGCGGCGUGCUUAACACAUGCAAGUCGAGCGGUAAGGCCCUUUCGGGGGUACACGAGCGGCGAACGGGUGAGUAACACGUGGGUGACCUGCCCUCAGCUCUGGGAUAAGCCUGGGAAACCGGGUACUAAUACCGGGUAUGACUCCAUGACGCAUGUUGUGGGGUGGAAAGCCUUGUGCGGCUGAGGAUGGGCCCGCGGCCUAUCAGCUUGUUGGUGGGGUGAUGGCCACCAAGGCGACGACGGGUA